rnacentral:rRNA from 1 species
CCUACGGGAGGCAGCAGUUAGGAAUAUUGGGCAAUGGAGGAAACUCUGACCCAGCAACGCCGCGUGAAGGAAGAAGGUUUUCGGAUUGUAAACUUCUGAUCUGUGGGACGAAGAAAGUGACGGUACCACAGGAGAAAGCCACGGCUAACUACGUGCCAGCAGCCGCGGUAAUACGUAGGUGGCGAGCGUUGUCCGGAAUAACUGGGCGUAAAGGGAGCGUAGGUGGUUGAUUAAGUUAAAUGUGAAAGCCCAGGGCUCAACUCUGGAACUGCAUUUAAUACUGGUCGGCUAGAGUACAGGAGGGGUAAACGGAAUUUCUAGUGUAGCGGUGAAAUGCGUAGAUAUUAGGAAGAACACCGGAGGCGAAGGCGGUUUACUGGACUGCAACUGACACUGAGGCUCGAAAGCGUGGGGAGCAAACAGGAUUAGAUACCCGAGUAGUC